rnacentral:misc_RNA from 1 species
AAGAACUGAAGAAUUCCUUUCGUCAUCUCGUGUCUAGGGGUCAUGAAGCAGUCGCGGAUGGUGUAAAAUCUGAGAGUGUAUUGAAGGACUUCUAUAUUCCAGAUUACAUUCUCAGAUUUUACACCGAGGUCGAUAAUGAGUCUCAUACGCCUUCCUGUCCUGUUAUUGUGUUCAUCAACUCAAAAAGUGGGGGACAGCUUGGACGGGAACUUCUUGUUACGUAUCGCAACCUUCUUAACAAAAACCAGGUUAUUGAUCUUGGAGAAGAGACUCCUGAUAAGGUCCUCCAUCAAAUUUAUGCCACUCUGCAAACACUAAAGAACCAUGGUGAUGAAUUGGCGGCUGAAAUUGAGAAGCGUCUAAGAAUUAUAGUUGCAGGGGG